GAUGAACGCUGGCGGCGUGCCUAAUACAUGCAAGUCGAGCGAACAGACGAGGAGCUUGCUCCUUUGACGUUAGCGGCGGACGGGUGAGUAACACGUAGGUAACCUACCUAUAAGACUGGGAUAACUUCGGGAAACCGGAGCUAAUACCGGAUAAUAUUUCGAACCGCAUGGUUCGAUAGUGAAAGAUGGCUUUGCUAUCACUUAUAGAUGGACCUGCGCCGUAUUAGCUAGUUGGUAAGGUAACGGCUUACCAAGGCAACGAUACGUAGCCGACCUGAGAGGGUGAUCGGCCACACUGGAACUGAGACACGGUCCAGACUCCUACGGGAGGCGGCAGUAGGGAAUCUUCCGCAAUGGGCGAAAGCCUGACGGAGCAACGCCGCGUGAGUGAUGAAGGUCUUCGGAUCGUAAAACUCUGUUAUUAGGGAAGAACAAACGUGUAAGUAACUGUGCACGUCUUGACGGUACCUAAUCAGAAAGCCACGGCUAACUACGUG
rnacentral:rRNA from 1 species